CGAAAAAAAAGGAGCUAUGCUAUGUUCGUCUGGGCGUGGCGUCAGAGUUUGGUCGUUUGUCGAGAUGCAGCACAUCGCAAACAUUCUGGUCGUCGUCUAGGUGGCGGUGUGGCGGCUAACAGGCCACGCUCCUACAUCCUGAGCAGGCGGCUGAACGGCUGGUCGUGGAGCACCCGCACGGCAGACCAGCCGACGGUGUUAGGGCCGUUGUCCCGGCGAGGAGCUGCUUCGACAAAGCAGUAGGGCUUCGACGACUUUGCGACCGGCGACACCAUAGCUUGGCUGCUGGCUAAAGAAAAGCUAGCCUCAGGAGAGCUCUACUUGCCGACCACCCUAGGUAGACAUGUUCUACCUGUAGGAAGCCGCGAGCGCCCGCUCGUGCAGCAAGGGACAUGAAGGGAGAAGUGGGCCGUGGCGAUUGGAGGAAGGGAGAAGGUGAGAGAAAGGAGCGGGCAGAGACAGGAUCUGAAUCAAGAUCAACUGGUCGGUUGUAAGUGGCCAUGGUAUGGCAUUGGAGGUGAAUUGAGCUGACACACUACCAGUAGGUCGAUUUGAGAGAAUAUUUUGGAAACAGAGGCAAUUAGACAAAGAAGUUUGAUAGUCCAAUGGACCAUUUGCACAUUAUAUCAAUCGCAAGUAUUAAAAAAGAGAUUCUUGAAUAAAGCAUCAGGCUAAAGUUGGCAUAUUAUAGUAGUUUCAUCCACAUUCGCAUAGUAGAACACAAAAGAUCAAGGUAGAGCCGAAGUUCUAGAAAGUUACAACACAAAAGCAUGUGGAAACAUAACUAAGCCAUUUCCUCUCUUUGGCGUCAAGCUUACUGGAUUUCUGGCUAAGAAAAGAACAUAUGCAAAUAACUAGUAAAAAUGCCCGUGCGUUGCACCGGAAUAAAGUAAAACUGAAACACUCAAGAAUCAUAUGCAUGGACGAAGGUGGUCAUGUUUUCCACUUGCGACCAACAUGAUUCUGCACCGACUUGUAAUACCACAUACUUUAAUGAUUUUAUGCGUAACCUAUAUGUCAUUUAAACUUGGUACACGCUCCUUCCCAACAUUGUAAUUCCACAGACUUAUCGCGAGGGUGUGCAACACAUGUGUCUGAUAUACAUUUGCGGUUGUUGAACAAAGGUCUAAUACUAACAAAACGAUAGAUUGGGGAUUUAAGAAAUUAUAGUUGUUCUUAGUAUGUUUCAGUGUGAUACAGUUUAUUUGGUCGAUGCCAAAGAGUAAACUACCAUAUAUUUAUACUAACAUGACAUGAAGGAACAUGGCAUCCUAAUUGGCAAGGGAAAAUGAAGAAAUAGUAAUGAAUAAGGUACAAUUAGAUGAUUAGUAAGUAAUAUCCAAUACGUGUUGAAUAAAUCCUAACAAAGUAAGAAGUGAUAUGAAUUCAUAUAUAUUCCAACAUCACACUUUAUCCUAAACUGAGUUCUUGACUUAGUUGUUGGCUGAAUCUCUUUAUCAAGAACCUCAUAUUCAAUGAAAAUACCAUCAAUCAGAAGUUUUCUUUCUACAUGUGAAAAAAAAUACUAAGUGUGGGACUUCCGAAAUUCAGUACCUACAAAAGCACAACAAUCCUAAAACGUGCAUGUGAUUUUGCAGCAAAUAAGCAAGCAUAAAGGGGUUUAUGUUGUUCAUUGAUAUCCAUGGCCAUAUGGGACACCCCCUUUCUGCUCUCGCCCAUCUACAGUAACCUCUCGUUUUGAGAGUCGCCUCCUCCGUUCCGGGCCAAACCAAGGCCGUCCCCGGCAGCGCUGCUGUGUGGAGAUGGCUGCGGCGAGGUGCCGGCAUCUGUAGAUUAGCUUUUAGGUUCAGUUUUUGUAGUCGUUUGUCCUCUUUGGCGACUGGGAGUAGGUUGCUGGGUUAUUGCAAUCAGAUCUGGCACGUCCUGCUUCUGAUGUUCUUGUUUGCUCUGCUCUGGAUGCCGGGGCUGUGGCAAGUGAGGGCGCUGGAGCAUGGCAUCUCCGUCAAUAAGAUUGCCUUCUGGAGCCUGACUAUCUCUGCGCUAUGGCGCAGCGCGGGAUGGUGUUUGCCGGUGAUUUCGGGCGAGCUUCCGAGGAGGAAGAUGAACGAGAUGGCUGAUGGCAGCGGCUUCUUCAAUAAGCGCAGCUUCCUUGUGGUUGGCAGGUACUGUGCUGUGGAAUUUCUUCCGGCUGGCCGUGGUGGCGAGGGGAGGAGGCGAAGCAGCGAGGUCUUCUUUGCUUCUACAAGGUGGUGGAUCUGGAUCCUGCUGCAUCAACGCGCGUAUCACGCAGAAGCCAUGGUUGCUUCUGCGUUCUUCGGCCGGAAUGGCGGCCCUUCGAGUUGCCUAGAUGGCGCUCAGCUCAACCUCCACUUCGGAGGCCCUUCCCAGAGUUUCCCGUCGGAGUCUUCGUCCUUCCGCCGUCAAGUGGUGCGUCCCCGACGGUGUCUAGGUCGCCGACGAAGGACGCUCGUCGCUAGUGGAGAGGACCGAGGAGCCAAUUGCGUUUUCGCUGGUACUUUAGAGGUCCUUUGUGAAAUUGUCCUGGCUGUUGCUGUAAUUUUCUUUUUCCUUCAGGGGCCUGGAUGUAAUAUGUACCCACCUAUUUUAAUAUGAGAUGCAGCUAUCGGGGUCCUUCGGAA